AGCCUCUGUCACUGCGCACUUAGACCCACCGCGUCCACCUCUGUGCCGCGCGCUCUGUGGCGCGAUGCCUGCUGGUUGGCUGCUGGACACGGCGGGGGCGUGUCCUUCUCGCUCCGUUCGGCGUGGUUUGACUUGUUAUAAUAACGCGGGGAUCAUAGAAAGUCCGCUGUUUUAUUGUGUAUUUAUUCUUUAUUUACGUCUCCACGCGUCGCUUCACAAGCUCAACGGGAAGAGACGCGACCUGGUGUGUUGGUUUAUUGUCAUAGUUAAACACUCGUAUACAAACCUCGUGGUGAGGAGAAGGGACGCGCGCGCUGCCGACUGCGUGACCUUGGACGAGCAAAAAAAAUAAAAGAGAAAUAAAAUAAAAAUAAAUAAAAAUCCCCCCGCGAGGAUCGCUGUGAACUUGUAACGCAGGCGCGCGGGACGCGGUGUGGCCGGACACGUAGCCCGAACGUCCCUGUGCGUGCGCCGAUCAACGUCUCGCCGGAUCACGUGGACGGAAAGUAAGAUUCGGAUGUGCGCGCGUGUGUUCCUCCCCCCCCUCCGUCGCGCGGUGACACGCCGGUGACGCGGAAGGAGCCACCUGACUUCUGGCCCGGAAUGUGCGCGCCGCGACAGCUGGAGACACGGUGACGACCGACGCGGGAGGGUCUCCGCCGCCGCGCGCUGCCCACGCGGCUGAUGAAGACGAUGAUGAAGGCGGUGAUGCUGAUGGAGACGGUGACGGAGAUUGUGAUAAUAUAUUGUGUACUUCUGACUGGGGCCCCACACAGCAGUGACGCCCUCUGCUGGUCCAACGGGCCCCUGCAGGACCGCAGCUACGUUCCUCCGGCUCGCUGACAGAUUGAUGGACACCGAGGAAAUGGAAGGAGCCGAGGAGUAACGUAAGGACGCGGGUCGGCAGCUACGUGGCCACGACUCGCACCCACAGGAGGGAACGACGGAGGAGGAAGAAAAGAGACAAUGGGACUUCAGAGGGGAGCGAAUGGAGGCAUGAUGGAGCAGGAAAGCAGAGAGGCGACACACAAGGAGGAAGAGAUGGAAUCGCCCGCCGUGUAACCGGAGCAGCGCUGAGGGGAGUCCCUCGCCGCCGUACCCGUCCGCGUUUAAUUGAAGAAUAACACUUGGGUUCAUUACCGGUAUCGCCGAGCUCCCGUUUCUGCUGACUCAGACUGUGAGUGAGUGUGUGUGUGUGUGUGUGUGUGUGUGUGUGUGGUGACAGUGAAUACGGUGCGCGGCUCAGCGCGUGCAUCCCAGUUUGUGCUGACUAUGCACACACACACACACACACCGGCUCUUAAUGAAGCGCUCCUUCCUUAAAUCUACGACAAACAGCCUCCCUGCGGGAUUCCUGCCUGUCCAACAGCAGAGCAGCAGCCGUUUCAGAGGACGCCGUCUCCGCCGUAACCAUCUGAGACAAGCGCAUUGUUGUCGUCUUCGGACUCCUUCACAAUAAAAGCCACAGCGGUUCCACCUGUUGAAGGCUUUUAAUGUGAACUUAACACAGUGCAGCGAGGCCUGCAGAGGGACGGCGGACCUCACGCGUUAUAACCAGCUAUAACAAGUCAUUAUUUAAAGGGGCAUUCUAGCUAUUUAAAACUUUUACUUCUGAGCUUUUGUUAUAACUGCUGUACAUUCCGAAUAAUUCUAUUCCGUACUUUGGCUUUGACAGCGGACCACAUGUUAGGAUUCCUUACACACAGAUAACAACUAUUACAAACACUUUUUUGGCGUCCAAAAGGGACCGAUAAACUAUUCUGUAAAUAUUCCAAACGUUUAUCUAACAUAUAAACGCCACAUAUAAAGAUUCUUUCUAACUUCUUUUAUAUAAUCACAGCUUUGUUACACUCAAAGAAACACAGAGUACCUCAACUUUUGACUUCUUCAUCAUGCAGAACCGGCGCUCAUGUGAGUGAGAGUUUGCUCGGAUGAAAGUCACAUUGUUUGAAUGUAUAAAGUAGCAGAAUCAUUCCAUGAAAGGCCGACUGCCUCACUCCUUUAUCACCUGGCACCAAAUCACACAUUCUUCCCUUUGCUCCUUUCCGCCUACGCCCUCUCUGCAAGAAGUGAGUCUUUGCUUCUUGCCGCCUGUUUCUGAGAAGCGUGAGCUGAGCCCGUGUGUGUGCGUGUGUGUGUGUGUGUGUGUGUGUGUGUGUGUGUGUGUGUGAUGAAGGGAGUGGUUUGCACAGCAAGGUGCUUCUGACCGGCUUAUCUGAGUUGGCUUCAUCAGCAAUCUUACAUAUAUUAUCCAGUAAUCAACCUUCAACUGAGUGCCCAGAUAAUGUUAUGAUAACAUUCACUUUUUACCACCGCGUGACCGCGCUGCACACGCGUGUGUGUGUGUGUGCAUUUACACAUCCUAAGGAGGAGCUCGUGUUUUGGACCCCGUUGCACACGAGCAACACGUGUGCGUCUCUCAGACGAAGCGCUGAAGCAGAAGUCGUUCCAUCGCCGUCCGACGCGGCGCAGACGACUUCCCUCGCCCCUGAUAGCGGAGGAAUGAAUCAUGAGCCAAUCGGCGCUGCGACCGUUGACCCUGCCCAGCUGUGAGGCGCGUGCCGUGCGGAGGCAGCACACGUCCAGCCGACCUUCGUUGCCCUUCCCGCCUCCCUCCUCCUCCGCGUCGCCUCCUCGACGGGCAGAUAAGUGCAACGCUUUCACGCGGGGGGCAAGAUCACGCUGGACGUUCUUUAACGAGCACGAAAGAUGGUUCUUUUCUCAGGAAGGGGGAUGUUCCGCCCUUCAUCACUUCUCUCCCUCCCUCCUCUUUAUCUCCUUUGACCAGUUCCAGUAAGCGAGCUGGUUUUUUGUGCGGUUCAAAGAGUUCAUAAGCCUCUUUGGUCAGCGGAGAAGAAAAAUGAAAGGGAAAUCGCCAGAGUGAGAGAGAAGCAUUCAUUGUACUUUAACCCGACCAAAGGCUAGUCCCGUCAACAUCGAUCACUCUAAUACGCAGGGACCGUCCACGAGGGACCGCAUGUCCACCAAGUAUAGAUCUCAGAGGCGAGAAGAAGAAGAUUAGCAGGUCCGUCUUCACGAGGGAUAAAAGGCAUCUGUGACUACUUACAUACAUGUUGAUCUCAUUUUAUUUAACAGUCUGUGGAUGAUUUCAGACCAUUUUACAAUUAUUUCUGUUCAUGCAGCACAAGAAAAGCACUGAGGCGGAAUUGAAAACACAGAUACUAUGUUGUUACCACAUAAUACACCCACUUUAAAUAAAAUACAUUGCUUGUCUGA